rnacentral:rRNA from 1 species
CCUUACUACUUGGAUAACCGUGGUAAUUCUAGAGCUAAUACAUGCUAAAAGCCUCGACUUCGGGAGAGGUGUAUUUAUUAGAUAAAAAACCAAUGCCCUUCGGGGCUCCUUGGUGAUUCAUGAUAACUUAACGGAUCGCAUGGCCUUGCGCCGGCGACGGUUCAUUCAAAUUUCUGCCCUAUCAACUUUCGAUGGUAAGGUAUUGGCUUACCAUGGUUUCAACGGGUAACGGGGGAUUAGGGUUCGAUUCCGGAGAGGGAGCCUGAGAAACGGCUACCACAUCCAAGGAAGGCAGCAGGCGCGCAAAUUACCCAAUCCCGACACGGGGAGGUAGUGACAAUAAAUACUGAUACAGGGCUCUUUUGGGUCUUGUAAUCGGAAUGAGUACAAUUUAAAUCCCUUAACGAGGAACAAUUGGAGGGCAAGUCUGGUGCCAGCAGCCGCGGUAAUUCCAGCUCCAAUAGCGUAUAUUAAAGUUGUUGCAGUUAAAAAGCUCGUAGUUGAACCUUGGGCCUGGCUGGCCGGUCCGCCUCACCGCGUGUACUGGUCCGGCCGGGCCUUUCCUUCUGGUGAGCCUCAUGCCCUUCACUGGGUGUGCUGGGGAACCAGGACUUUUACUGUGAACAAAUUAGAGUGUUCAAAGCAGGCCUUUGCUCGAAUACAUUAGCAUGGAAUAAUGAAAUAGGACGUGCGGUCCUAUUUUGUUGGUUUCUAGGACCGCCGUAAUGAUUAAUAGGGAUAGUCGGGGGCAUCAGUAUUCAAUUGUCAGAGGUGAAAUUCUUGGAUUUAUUGAAGACUAACUACUGCGAAAGCAUUUGCCAAGGAUGUUUUCAUUAAUCAGUGAACGAAAGUUAGGGGAUCGAAGACGAUCAGAUACCGUCGUAGUCUUAACCGUAAACUAUGCCGACUAGGGAUCGGGCGAUGUUUCUAUCUUGACUCGCUC